GACCGAACCGACUAAUGUUGAAAAAUUAGCGGAUGACUUGUGGCUGGGGGUGAAAGGCCAAUCAAACCGGGAGAUAGCUGGUUCUCCCCGAAAGCUAUUUAGGUAGCGCCUCGUGAAUUCAUCUCCGGGGGUAGAGCACUGUUUCGGCAAGGGGGUCAUCCCGACUUACCAACCCGAUGCAAACUGCGAAUACCGGAGAAUGUUAUCACGGGAGACACACGGCGGGUGCUAACGUCCGUCGUGAAGAGGGAAACAACCCAGACCGCCAGCUAAGGUCCCAAAGUCAUGGUUAAGUGGGAAACGAUGUGGGAAGGCCCAGACAGCCAGGAUGUUGGCUUAGAAGCAGCCAUCAUUUAAAGAAAGCGUAAUAGCUCACUGGUCGAGUCGGCCUGCGCGGAAGAUGUAACGGGGCUAAACCAUGCACCGAAGCUGCGGCAGCGACGCUUAUGCGUUGUUGGGUAGGGGAGCGUUCUGUAAGCCUGUGAAGGUGUGCUGUGAGGCAUGCUGGAGGUAUCAGAAGUGCGAAUGCUGACAUAAGUAACGAUAAAGCGGGUGAAAAGCCCGCUCGCCGGAAGACCAAGGGUUCCUGUCCAACGUUAAUCGGGGCAGGGUGAGUCGACCCCUAAGGCGAGGCCGAAAGGCGUAGUCGAUGGGAAACAGGUUAAUAUUCCUGUACUUGGUGUUACUGCGAAGGGGGGACGGAGAAGGCUAUGUUGGCCGGGCGACGGUUGUCCCGGUUUAAGCGUGUAGGCUGGUUUUCCAGGCAAAUCCGGAAAAUCAAGGCUGAGGCGUGAUGACGAGGCACUACGGUGCUGAAGCAACAAAUGCCCUGCUUCCAGGAAAAGCCUCUAAGCAUCAGGUAACAUCAAAUCGUACCCCAAACCGACACAGGUGGUCAGGUAGAGAAUACCAAGGCGCUUGAGAGAACUCGGGUGAAGGAACUAGGCAAAAUGGUGCCGUAACUUCGGGAGAAGGCACGCUGAUAUGUAGGUGAAGCGACUUGCUCGUGGAGCUGAAAUCAGUCGAAGAUACCAGCUGGCUGCAACUGUUUAUUAAAAACACAGCACUGUGCAAACACGAAAGUGGACGUAUACGGUGUGACGCCUGCCCGGUGCCGGAAGGUUAAUUGAUGGGGUCAGCGCAAGCGAAGCUCUUGAUCGAAGCCCCGGUAAACGGCGGCCGUAACUAUAACGGUCCUAAGGUAGCGAAAUUCCUUGUCGGGUAAGUUCCGACCUGCACGAAUGGCGUAAUGAUGGCCAGGCUGUCUCCACCCGAGACUCAGUGAAAUUGAACUCGCUGUGAAGAUGCAGUGUACCCGCGGCAAGACGGAAAGACCCCGUGAACCUUUACUAUAGCUUGACACUGAACAUUGAGCCUUGAUGUGUAGGAUAGGUGGGAGGCUUUGAAGUGUGGACGCCAGUCUGCAUGGAGCCGACCUUGAAAUACCACCCUUUAAUGUUUGAUGUUCUAACGUUGACCCGUAAUCCGGGUUGCGGACAGUGUCUGGUGGGUAGUUUGACUGGGGCGGUCUCCUCCUAAAGAGUAACGGAGGAGCACGAAGGUUGGCUAAUCCUGGUCGGACAUCAGGAGGUUAGUGCAAUGGCAUAAGCCAGCUUGACUGCGAGCGUGACGGCGCGAGCAGGUGCGAAAGCAGGUCAUAGUGAUCCGGUGGUUCUGAAUGGAAGGGCCAUCGCUCAACGGAUAAAAGGUACUCCGGGGAUAACAGGCUGAUACCGCCCAAGAGUUCAUAUCGACGGCGGUGUUUGGCACCUCGAUGUCGGCUCAUCACAUCCUGGGGCUGAAGUAGGUCCCAAGGGUAUGGCUGUUCGCCAUUUAAAGUGGUACGCGAGCUGGGUUUAGAACGUCGUGAGACAGUUCGGUCCCUAUCUGCCGUGGGCGCUGGAGAACUGAGGGGGGCUGCUCCUAGUACGAGAGGACCGGAGUGGACGCAUCACUGGUGUUCGGGUUGUCAUGCCAAUGGCACUGCCCGGUAGCUAAAUGCGGAAGAGAUAAGUGCUGAAAGCAUCUAAGCACGAAACUUGCC
rnacentral:rRNA from 1 species